CCAGUAAUUUGUCUCGCAUAUUUCUCAGAACUCAAAGUCAACUUCGCCUCGUUAGUUUCACAAGUGACUCGUGCCUGUUGUCAACUCUCUUAGCAUCUCCGAACCUAAUGUCCCUUGGCUGGAAACUAACGCCUAGUUGCCGAACGUGAUGCAACGGGUAAUGCGACAAGUUUGCCGUCAAGGGAUUAUGUGACCAGUUCUCUGUUUGAGUCUAUAAUGGUGGUCCGUUAUAACGUCUGUAGAUUACAGAACGAGUCGGGCGGCCAGCGAGGAUUUUCUAAAAAAUUUGUAUCCGCAGGGAUUGGAAACGUAGAACGAUUACCCGCAUGUCGACCCACGUACAUACACCUACAUCUAUCGGAAACGGACAGAUUGAACUAAAUUAGUGUUUUUUCGCGACGCAUUCGCCUUCUACACAACGCCACGGAAAUAAGCUUCCUAAGUCUUCCUAAGAUCUCUAUGAAGACUAUUCUCAUUUUCUGUCAUAGAUACGAGCGGACAGGAAUGCCCACAACAAAUAGAUAAACUAGUGCAACGACAGAUAUGAAAUUCUUAUGAAAUAUUAAAAGAAUUUGAUGCGAUUUCAUUAUAUGCAAAAGACUAGUUAGUUCAUACGACUUGAAGGACCAUUUUUUAAGGAGAAGAUAAUUAAAACUUUUGAAAUUUUGUUUCUAAA